rnacentral:rRNA from 1 species
GAUGAACGCUGGCGGCGUGCCUAAUACAUGCAAGUCGAGCGAACGGACGAGAAGCUUGCUUCUCUGAUGUUAGCGGCGGACGGGUGAGUAACACGUGGAUAACCUACCUAUAAGACUGGGAUAACUUCGGGAAACCGUAUCUAAUACCGGAUAAUAUUUUGAACCGCAUGGUUCAAAAGUUAAAGACGGUCUUGCUGUCACUUAUAGAUGGAUCCGCGCUGCAUUAGCUAGUUGGUAAGGUAACGGCUUACCAAGGCAACGAUGCAUAGCCGACCUGAGAGGGUGAUCGGCCACACUGGAACUGAGACACGGUACCGACUCCUACGGGGAGCAGCAGUAGGGAAUCUUACGCAAUGGGCGAAAGCCUGACGGAGCAACGCCGCGUGAGUGAUGAAGGUCUUCGGAUCGGAAAACUCUGUUAUUAGGGAAGAACAUAUGUGUAAGUAACUGUGCACAUCUUGACGGUACCUAAUCAGAAAGCCACGGCUAACUACGUG